rnacentral:rRNA from 1 species
UACGAAGGGGGCUAGCGUUGCUCGGAAUCACUGGGCGUAAAGCGCACGUAGGCGGCUUUCUAAGUCAGGGGUGAAAUCCUGGAGCUCAACUCCAGAACUGCCUUUGAUACUGGAGAGCUCGAGUCCGGAAGAGGUGAGUGGAACUCCGAGUGUAGAGGUGAAAUUCGUAGAUAUUCGCAAGAACACCAGUGGCGAAGGCGGCUCACUGGCCCGUAACUGACGCUGAGGCACGAAAGCGUGGGGAGCAAACAGG